rnacentral:rRNA from 1 species
UACGUAGGGGGCAAGCGUUGUCCGGAAUUAUUGGGCGUAAAGAGCUCGCAGGCGGUCUAUCACGUCGGAUGUGAAACCCUGAGGCUCAACCUCAGGCCCGCAUUCGAUACGGGCAGACUAGAGUGUGGUAGGGGAGACUGGAAUUCCUGGUGUAGCGGUGAAAUGCGCAGAUAUCAGGAGGAACACCGGUGGCGAAGGCGGGUCUCUGGGCUAUUACUGACACUGAGGAGCGAAAGCGUGGGGAGCAAACAGG